rfam:Triticum aestivum genome assembly, contig: Triticum_aestivum_CS42_TGACv1_scaffold_288613_4AL
UUUCUACUCCCUCCGUCCGAAAAUACUUGUCAUCAAAAUGGAUAAAAAUAGAUGUAUCUAAAAUUAAAAUAUGUCUAGAUACAUUUCCUUUUUAUCCAUUUUGAUGACAAGUAUUUCCGGACGAAGGGAGUAUUUG